GGUUUUUUUCCCUAUACACAAUUGAUUAGCUAAUUUCUUUUGCCCACUGGAAUCCAUUAGGUCUGGAUUUACAUCGCUUUUUCUUUUCCUUGUUUUUUUUUGGGGCAAGGUUCUAAUUUUUCUUAGUAAAAUCUCAUUGGUUCACAUAGAUCCCUCUGCAUUUAUCCCCAGUGAUUUAGAAGGAGAUUUUACUUCUCCCUGUUUGGGUUUCAGAGUGAUCACAAUGGGCUCCUCAAGUUCCUUUAAUCCCAACAAGGAUAUACAUAUAGAUACACAGAAUAGUCCCCUACAGAAAUUUGUCUCUCUGCAACAACAACAACAGCAACAACACACAAGCAAGGCAAUGGAAAACAGGCUCAGAGAGGGAGCCAGCAGGAAAUAGAUUGGGGUGACAGUCCCAUUGUGGUUAUCCUCAGAUAGGAUACAGCUAUCGUUACUGCCCUCUUGUCCUCAGCCUUCCUUCUCUUGUAAAUUCAUGGUCAUGGCAGUGGCUAUAGCAGCAGUGGUUGUGAUACUGUGAGGUAUCCAGAUCUUCCACCUUUUCUCUCAGUGGUAUGUGUAUGCACAAGAAGUCCCACUGCUCAUUUUCCAUCUCUAACAAGAUUUCAGUUCUUCUCAACUCCUUUUUGAGAAGAGGAAAAAAAGACACAACACUUUUCUAACAGGGUCAAAACUUUGCAGUUCCUCAGUCCCCAGAGGCUUUGGUAGACAGACAUCAGGAGCUAUCACCAGCCAUGGACUUUGUCUUCAGUGACCUGCUACUCCCUUGGGACUUGAAAUUCACUGACAUAUUUCAAGACUGAAAAUUGAAGCAUUUCCUAAAAGUAACCUAUUGUUGAAUUCAAAAUUUUAAUCUGCUAUCCAUUUCUAUUUUAUGGUGCCUCAUGAUGGAUCAUGCAGUGAGUAAAAGCAAAUGUUCAUUGCCACCAGCUUUAACUUUUGCUACAAAUCCAACAUUCUUGCCCAUCAUUGCUCUAGCACCAUCUGUCCGGACUCCAACACAACUUUUCCACUGUAAACUUUCAUUUGUGAAAAACUCAUCGACUUUAAGAUAUAUAUCUUCCCCUCUUGUGUGUCCUUCCAAAGGGUGACAAAAGCAAUAAUUCCUCAGAGGUUUACUUCAUCACUGUCAAGAAGUUCGUCCUUAUCUCUGUCUAAAGCAUCUGCUGUUAUCAUCCCUGUCCCCUUCCUCACCUCGGAGAGAUACAGAUGUUUUGACUUUGGUCU